GUGAAUCAUCAAAUUUUUGAACGCAAAUUGCACUCUUUGGUAUUCGGAAGAGUAUGCGUGUUUGAGGGUAGUAAAAAUAAAAUCGUUUUUUUAUACACGGAUCUGAGUUUUCGAAGGUGGCAUGAUUUUGGUAACUUUAAAUUCAUCUUAUCGAAAUUUUUGUUAUGAUACUUGAACUGUUUUUAUUUUUACUCUUGUGAGCUUCAUUAGUAACGAAUUAUAUG
rnacentral:misc_RNA from 1 species